AUAAUACUCCAUAGAUUAGAGACACUGGAAUGUUCUUUAGUCGAAAGUUCUGGCGCCUUAGGAUGGAUCUGCGGUCGAUUAGGUUGUUGUUGGGGUAACGGCCCAACAAGCCUGUAAUCGAUACGGGUUGUGGGAGCAAGAGCCCGGAGAUGGAAUCUGAGACACGAUUCCAGGCCCUACGGGGCGCAGCAGGCGCGAAAACUUUACAAUGCAGGAAACUGUGAUAAGGGAACUCCGAGUGCCCGUAUACGCGGGCUGUCCAGGUGUUUAAAAAUCAUCUGAAGAAAGGGCCGGGCAAGACCGGUGCCAGCCGCCGCGGUAAUACCGGCGGCUCGAGUGGUGGCCACUAUUAUUGGGCUUAAAGCGUCCGUAGCUGGACCGAUAAGUCUCUUGGGAAAUCCGCCGGCUCAACCGGCGGGCGUCUAAGGGAUACUGUUAGUCUAGGGACCGGGAGAGGUGAGAGGUACUCCGGGGGUAGGAGUGAAAUCCUGUAAUCCCCGGGGGACCACCGAUGGCGAAGGCAUCUCACCAGAACGGCUCCGACAGUGGGGGGCGAAAGCUGGGGGAGCGAACCGGAUUAGAUACCCGGUAGUCCCAGCCGUAACUAUGCGCGUUAGGUGU
rnacentral:rRNA from 1 species